rnacentral:tRNA from 1 species
ACAGGUGUAGCUCAGUGGUAGAGUAUUUGCCUAGCAGCUUCAAGGUCCUGGGUUUGAUUCCCAGCACCAGAA